AGAAGAUCUGGAGCAGCUCCAGGCACUGCUAAUUGGCACGUGACAGAGUGCCUGCCACGCGUUGGUCAAUACCAAUUAGCAUACUGAUUAAAUGAACGAGUGUCUUGGCAGCAGUUAUCCCAUUACCUUAACAAGUGCAGCACGGAGAGGCACCGGAGCCUGUGGAGCAGCAGGAGCUGCCCUGGGAUAAGGGAAAGGACUUUUGGAGCAAGUCCUGGAGCAAGCCAUGAAGGGAGUAAAAUCCACGUGGGAAGCCCCUCUUGGGCAAGGAGGAGGCCUGUGCUGAGGUGAUUUCACUUGGUCACACAAAGCCCAACUCUUCCCCUAACACAAAGCACUUGUCUUCCUUCAGCAGCACGAGACCAUCUCAGGACCUCCCACGCCCUUAUCUCCCUGCAUGCACAUCCAUCAUCUCCAGUUGUUGAGACUCUGAGAUGGUUAUUUGGCUUUUGGAGUGCCGAACCCUUCGCUUAUCUCCUUCCUGCUUCUGUUCUCCACACUUCCAGGCAACGUGGCAGAGCCGAGUGCCUGCAGCCUGGGUGGUUCCUGGAGCAGAACUUGGUCAGUUUUGGAGACCUCUGAGGGCUCCUCUGAGAGCCUGCAGAGAACUUUAUCCCUUCCCACUGUCUAGCACUGCUGGAGCUCAUCCAUCCAUCCUCAGUGGGCUGCCCUUGUCCCUUCCUUGGGUACUGAUACAUCCCAAAGGAUUCUCCCUAAGUGUGCAGAAUGUCACUGUCAUAUUUCCUGAAAAAUCCUCUUUGCCCAGGAUUCUUCUCCUGGGAAGCUGAGAAACCUCAGAGAAAAAUUAAAACAAUAAUUAUCUCAUUUGCUUCUCCUGUGUUUUGCUGCUUUGGAACGUGUUUGGAGAUUGUUUAUCCAACAUGUGGUUGUUCAGUUGGUUUCGUGUGAAUUGGUUUUACUUAAUGAGCAAUCAGGGUCUGGCUGUGUCAGGAAAGGGUCACAAGUUUUCGUUAUUAUCAUUCUUUCUAGCCUUCUGUCUGUAUCCUUUCUGUAUUCUUUGGUGUAGUUUAGUACAGCUAUAGUAUAAUUAUAAUAUACUAUACUAUACUAUAUUAUAAUAAUAUAUAAUAUAAUAUACUAUAAUAAUAUAUACUAUACUACAA
rnacentral:lncRNA from 1 species